rnacentral:misc_RNA from 1 species
UUUUUUUUUUUUCCAGCUAAGGCACUGGCUUAAGAUGGUCAUUAUCAAGAAGUUUCUUAUGCUAAUAUCAUUAUCUAAAGAAGAUGAUAAUUUUUAACAUGAUAGUUUAUGCUUUGCCGAAGAAUCAUUACACAACCAAUAUAAAUAGGCAUGUUGAAUUGAGAAAUUUUCAAUAUAAAAUCCACAAAAAUGAGAUACAAAUGAAACGAUCAACAAAGCAUUAUGCCAUUUCUCCAAAUACAACAAAACCUUUCCUACAUUAUGUCAUCUAUUAAUUGUUAUUGUUGUUUAUUGAGAAGGGCCAAAUCCUUAUUUUGUUAAGAUUUACAUAAUGUUUUGUUCAAUUCUACUACAAACUUUGGAAUUCAUUUGAAAUGAAUUUUAGCUAGAAUUCAUUUGAAGUGAAUCCCAUUGUUUGGUAUGACACAACUUAAAAUUUAGAAUUCAAUUGAAUUCCAUA